rnacentral:lncRNA from 1 species
AAUUCCGGGUUCCCGGGAAUCCAGGGCCCCUGCAGGCGGCCAGUCCUCCCCUCGGCAGGGGGAGGGCACCCACCUCGCCGGCCGCCCGCCCUCACCUGUGUGCGACCUCAUGUGCCGGGUCAGGUCCUGCAGGGACCAGAACCUCUUGCUGCACACGCCGCACACCUUCUUCCUCUUGUCCGCCUUGCUGGCCGUGCUCCGGGGGGCGUCUGUCUUUGGCUUCUUGUCGUCGUCGCUCUUCUCCGAGGACUUCUUCUCGGCCGGGCCCUCCCCGUCCGCAUCCGAGGGGCCGUCCGCCUCCUCGCUCUGCUGCUCCACAGGUGCUUCCGACGCGGCCUCCCCGGGGCCGGCGCCCAGGGGCUCGCCGGCCUCUGGGGCAGCUCCGGGGGCGCGGGGGUGGCGGGCGGCGGCCCCUCGGCCUCCCCGGGAGGCGCGCUCUCGUCCCCAGGCUCCUCGCGGCCGUGGGCCUUGCGGUGGCGGCUGAGGGUCCCGGGGAACUUGAAGCUCUUGCCGCAGACGUGGCAGGCGUGCUUCUGGUCCGGGGCCGGGCCUGCGCCCGCCUCGCCCUCGGCCAGCUUGAAGCCCAUCAGCUUGCUGGCGAGGUUGAGGUCCAGGCUCUUGUUGCUGACCGUGUCCUCCUCCGGGCCCUCGGCGUCCUCGUCCCGCUCCUCCCCGCGCUCCACGUCCUCCUCGGCCGCCCUCUCCUCCCCGGCGGCCGCUGGCUUCACCUGCUCGGCCCCCAGCUCAUCUGGGGCCGGGCUGGGCUCGGCGGCCCCCUCUGGUGCCGGCUGCUCCUUCUCCCGGGAGGUGAGGUCCAGCACUUCGCCUCCGGCCGCCGAGGCCUCCAGGUCAGACUGGCUGUCUGCGGGGACAAGCACAGGGCCGGGUGAGGGCCAGGCCGCCAGCCGCGCCCUUCCAAGGGCUGGGUCGGGGCUGGGCGGGACCCACCCGGGACCUGUCUCCCACCCCAUCCAAGGAUGCCUCACCCCUUACAUCCUCAAGGGCCAAGGUAAAUCUGGGGUUAAUUUUACAAAGGAAAAAAAAGAAAAAGAAAAAAAAAGUCAGAAGGAGCCUACGCAGCACACCCAGGCCUGCAGCUCCAGCCCCUCUUCCCUGGCCCACGAGCGGCCCGCCCCCUCCCCGGGCACUCGCAGGGAUGCUGGGGCGGGGGCCCCCCAGGGGCGGAGGCUCAGGGCAGCCAGGCAGAGGGCCGGCAAGAGGACAGCUGGUGCAUUCCGGAGGCUGCAGCACGAGGAAGGUUGA